rnacentral:lncRNA from 1 species
GCCGAGCAAUUCCUCAUCACCAACCUUUCCCUCAAUGCGGAACCACGUCUUAGAUACCUGGCUGUUUCCGCCGCCCCUUGCGGCCAUUGCCGCCAAUUCCUCCAAGAGCUCCGUGGCGCCUCCGAUGUCAAGAUCCUCAUAACUUCGUCCGAGGACGAAAAAGAAAACAAAAUAAACAAUAAUUGUAAUGAUAAAGACCAAGAAUUUACUCCGUUGUCCCAUUUCUUACCUCACAGGUUCGGCCCAGACGAUUUGCUAGAAAAAGACGUUCCUCUUCUCCUCGAGCCUCAUCGAAACGGCUUGUCCUUUUGCAACGAUUUAUGCAACGGCAAAAUCAACGGUGUCGAUGAUUUAAAACAUGCGG